CGAAAACAGGAAAAAGGAACGGAGGGUGUGCCUGGCUCAUGAUCUUUCUUUUUAGAGUUACUUGUUUAAUGGCUAAUGAAGGAGAAAGGCUGCUUGCAGUGAGCCAGUAAUUCUGGAGCAUUUUUUCCUGCCGUCUAUGCCUGGGCCUGGGCUACUUGCUAGCAGGAUGAAACCUAACCUUGACAAGGCUUCCAUCUGAGGAGAAAGCGUGUGGAAGGUCAGCAACACCAGGAGGACCAGAGGGAGGAAAGCCAUUUGAGCCCAGUCUGGAACAAAAGAGUAUCGUAACAAAGCAGAACCAAGGCUGGCAGCUUCCUGGUACAGUCUGAAGUCUUGUCUCUUCUCCCAGCUGCUGUCCCUUCCCCUACUUGCCUUGAUUACAGAACCUCCGCCCCCAAGAUUCCAUUUGUUUCUAGUUGGUCUAGAUCUGCUAACUGUGCUCCUCAGAAAUCAUUCAAUUGAGCCUCCAAUGCUUCCGAGCCAUCACAUCCAGCGACCACCUCAUGACCAGCAUCUCUUGUGG